GGACCCGCACAAGCGGUGGAGCAUGUGGUUUAAUUCGAUGCAACGCGAAAAAACCUUACCUACUCUUGACAUACUUGGGAGCUCUUGUAAUGAGAGUGUGCCUUUUGGAACCAAGAUACAGGUGCUGCAUGGCUGUCGUCAGCUCGUGUCGUGAGAUGUUCCGUUAAGUCGGAUAACGAGCGCAACCCUUACCCUUAUUUGCCAGCGAUUCGGUCGGGAACUAUAAGGGGACUGCCGGUGAUAAACCGGAGGAAGGUGAGGACGACGUCAAGUCAUCAUGGCCCUUACGAGUAGGGCUACACACGUGCUACAAUGGGGAAUACAGACGGACGCUAAGCCGCGAGGUGGUG
rnacentral:rRNA from 1 species